GAUGAAGAACGUAGCGAAAUGCGAUAAGUAGUGUGAAUUGCAGAAUUCAGUGAAUCAUCGAAUCUUUGAUCGCACAUUGCGCCCCAUGGUAUUCCGUGGGGCAUGCCUGUUCGAGCGUCAUUUACCCCCUCAAGCUCCGCUUGGUGUUGGGCGUCUGUCCCGCUUCGCGCGCGGACUCGCCCCAAAGGUAUUGGCAGCGGUCGUGCCAGCUUCUCGCGCAGCACAUUGCGCUUCUCGAGGCACCGGUGGGCCCGCGUCCAUCAAGCUCACCCCCCCAGUUUGACCUCGGAUCAGGUAGGGAUACCCGCUGAACUUAAGCAUAUCAAUAAGCGGAGGA
rnacentral:misc_RNA from 1 species